CCUUAGUGCGAGUUAGGAAAGGCAUCCACUUGGGACAGACCAGGCCGGGAAGGCGCACCUUCUGACUCUAAGACCCGGGGAAGGGGCUUGGAGAAAUGUCCUGUCUGGGAGAAGCUGGGUUGUGUGCUUGCCAGAACCCCAACCUGGGGGACCUGUGUCCUGGCUGCACUCGGCCACCCUCUUUCUGUGGACCCUGCUGGAGACACUGCCCCCUCUGGGCUGCGGAACGAGGGGGCGGGACCAGGACAAUGGCAUUGGUGCCUUCAACUCCUGACUCUGGUCGGCUGUCGAGUCAACGUCGUGGUUGGGAGCCUGAGCACAGUUCCUGCGGACAGAAGGAUUGCAUUUGAGUCCCAUACCUACCACCGCAUCCUUCUGAGCACCCCUGGGUUUUGGAUGAAUCGUCUAUGACUCCUGUAAGAAUCCGUCUCCUUGCCUUUUCUGGCUUCCAGAAGCUGUACACACUACUUGGCUGAUAGCCCCACCUGCCAUCUUCAAAUCACAUGGCUUGGGGCUUCCCUGGUGGCGCAGUGGUUGAGAAUCUGCCUGCCAAUGCAGGGGACACGGGUUCGAGCCCUGGUCUGGGAAGAUCCCACAUGCCACGGAGCAACUGGGCCCGUGAGCCACAAUUACUGAGCUUGCGCGUCUGGAGCCUGUGCUCCACAAGAGAGGCUGCGACAGUGAGAGGCCCGCGCACCGCGAUGAAGAGUGGCCCCCACUUGCCACAACUAGAGAAAGCCCUCGCACAGAAACGAAGACCCAAC